GACGAACGCUGGCGGCGUGCUUAACACAUGCAAGUCGAACGAAGAGCGAUGGAAGCUUGCUUCUAUCAAUCUUAGUGGCGAACGGGUGAGUAACGCGUAAUCAACCUGCCCUUCAGAGGGGGACAACAGUUGGAAACGACUGCUAAUACCGCAUACGAUCUAAUCUCGGCAUCGAGGAUAGAUGAAAGGUGGCCUCUACAUGUAAGCUAUCACUGAAGGAGGGGAUUGCGUCUGAUUAGCUAGUUGGAGGGGUAACGGCCCACCAAGGCGAUGAUCAGUAGCCGGUCUGAGAGGAUGAACGGCCACAUUGUGACGGAGACACGGCCCAGACUCCUACGGGAGGCAGCAGGGGGGAAACUUCCGCAAUGGACGAAAGUCUGACGGAGCAACGCCGCGGGAGGGAUGACGGCCUUCGGGUUGUAAAGCUCUGUUAAUCGGGACGAAAGGCCUUCUUGCGAAUAGUGAGAAGGAUUGACGGUACCGGAAUAGAAAGCCACGGCUAACUACGUG
rnacentral:rRNA from 1 species